rnacentral:rRNA from 1 species
UACGUAGGGGGCAAGCGUUGUUCGGAAUUACCGGGCGUAAAGCGCGUGUAGGCGGCUCUUCAAGUCAGACGUGAAAGCCCCGGGCUUAACUCGGGAACUGCGUUUGAUACUGUCGAGCUAGAGUGUGGAAGGGGCGAUUGGAAUUCCGUGUGUAGCGGUGAAAUGCGUAGAUAUACGGAGGAACACCAGAGGCGAAGGCGGAUCGCUGGGCCAACACUGACGCUGAGACGCGAAAGCUAGGGGAGCAAACGGG